UAGGGAAUCUUCCACAAUGGACGCAAGUCUGAUGGAGCAACGCCGCGUGAGUGAAGAAGGUUUUCGGACCGUAAAGCUCUGUUGUUGGUGAAGAAGGAUAGAGGUAGUAACCGGCCUUUAUUUGACGGUAAUCAACCAGAAAGUCACGGCUAACUACGUGCCAGCAGCCGCGGUAAUACGUAGGUGGCAAGCGUUGUCCGGAUUUAUUGGGCGUAAAGCGAGCGCAGGCGGAAGAAUAAGUCUGAUGUGAAAGCCCUCGGCUUAACCGAGGAAUUGCAUCGGAAACUGUUUUCUUGAGUGCAGAAGGGGAGAGUAGAACUCCAUGUGUAGCGGUGGAAUGCGUAGAUAUAUGGAAGAAUACCAGUGGCGAAGGCGGCUCUCUGGUCUGCAACUGACGCUGAGGCUCGAAAGCAUGGGUAGCGAACAGGAUUAGAUACCCUGGUAGUUCAUGCCGUAAACGAUGAGUGCUAAGUGUUGGGAGGCUUCCGCCUCUCAGUGCUGCAGCUAACGCAUUAAGCACUCCGCCUGGGGGAGUACGACCGCAAGGUUGAAAC
rnacentral:rRNA from 1 species